rnacentral:lncRNA from 1 species
UAAAAAAUAUUUUUAAAAUUUUAUUGGUGGUUGCAAAUAAAAUUAGUAAGGGAACCGACCGUUCCUAACGCAAGUAAGAAAAUGUUUGGUGGUUGAUUUCAAAUUCGAAUUCUAAUUGGUUCACAUUUUCAACUAAGUUUAUUUUUAAAUAAAAUAAACAAAGCGGAUGGCAUGCUACCUAUCUCUUAAAAAAAUAAUAAUAAUAAAAUUAGUAAUGGAGGAGGCAUCUGGCAGAAAUUAAAGGCAAUUUAUAUAUUCCAAUCUCAAACCUAGCAGAGCUACAAGAUCUCAUAGAUCUCGAUAUUGAGUUCCCAAUUCAUUUAUAAAAAAGUUGGGCUGGAAUGCUAUCGCCUAUCGGUGACAAGCGGGUUUCAUUGUCAUCCAUUUAUUUUCGACGACGAUUGGCAUGAUUGAACAUGAUCUAUACCACAUGAAGCAUCUAGAAACCAAAUUUCAAAUGUUUUCGAUAUCAUUGACCUAAAAGAGUUUCAAAAUUUAUAAUUUUAAUAGUCAAUACGAGGCUUUUUUUUCAUUUAACGGUAUAAAGAUAUUCACAUCAAUUGAAUUUUGAUUAGAAAAUUUUUUAAGCUAUUUAAAAUAAGAUCUAUACUCUCAAUCUUGAUUACAAGAUUUCUAUCAUCACUUCUUAAAAGAUAUUCAUUAUCAGUCGUUCAUUUUUGUGUCCACUUGAUGGACAAAAGAACAAUAUCGAAAAAGUAUGAAAUUUAAUUUCUAAAUGUUUCAAGUGGUAUAAAUCAUGUUCAACGAUACUGAUCGUCUAUUUGGAGGCUCCAUCAUCGAAAAUAAAUAAAUGGUAACGGAACCCGUUUACUACUGAUAACAUUCCUGCUCAACUGUAUUUAACAGAUUUAUUAUGUAAAUAUAUUGAAGCUCAACUAUGUCAGCUGGUAAAAUAGAAUUUAGUAUGUGAACUAUUUUUAAAAAUGAAAUAGGCCCCCGCAAGUUAGGAGUUUUCCUAGCACCUACUUUUUCAAUCUUUUAUAAAAUUAUGAUAUAUUCCCUAAUGAGAGAGGGGAGGCAUGUGUUGUGCAUGUUCAAAGAGAAGAGAAAUGAAUUUAUUUUGUGACCACAUGCUUCAUUGAUAUCACCAACCUAAUACGUGAAGGAAAAAAAGUCCGAUAAUUUAGAGAAAGAAUAAACCACAUUUUUUUGUCCUUAGAUUAUAAAGCGGAUGAUAUUUGGUUCUUAAAUUUUAAUUUAUUGCAACGUUCUCUAGUUCAAUUAUUUUAGAUUAGUAUAACUAAGUUUUUAAAUUUAAUUUAGUUGGCUAAAUUAAUGCUGAUGUGAAGCUGAUGUAGUGGCAGUGUGAUAUAGUAGUCAUUGUCACGUAUCAAUCAUUACUAUAAUAUCAGCGAAGCGUCAUUUUUAACUAGACUCAAUUACAAUAAUCUAAAAAAUUUGAGCUAAAAAUUGCAAUGGACUAAAAUUUAAGGACCAAAAGUGUAAGUUAGCAUUUGGAUAAAUAUUGUGAAAUGUGUG